CUCGUUAGAUCACCGAAGUUAAGCAUCAUUGGGCGCGGUCAGUACUUGGGUGGGUGACCACCUAGGAACAACA